rnacentral:rRNA from 1 species
UACGUAGGGGGCAAGCGUUGUCCGGAAUCAUUGGGCGUAAAGCGCGUGUAGGCGGCCCGGUAAGUCCGCUGUGAAAGUCGGGGGCUCAACCCUCGGAUGCCGGUGGAUACUGUCGGGCUAGAGUGCGGGAGAGGCGAGUGGAAUUCCUGGUGUAGCGGUGAAAUGCGCAGAUAUCAGGAGGAACACCAAUUGCGAAGGCAGCUCGCUGGAACGUUACUGACGCUGAGACGCGAAAGCGUGGGGAUCAAACAGG